CCUACGGGUGGCUGCAGUGGGGAAUAUUGGACAAUGGGCGAAAGCCUGAUCCAGCCAUGCCGCGUGUGUGAAGAAGGCCUUCGGGUUGUAAAGCACUUUCAGUGGGGAAGAAAGCCUUGGGGCUAAUACCCUCGAGGAAGGACAUCACCCACAGAAGAAGCACCGGCUAACUCCGUGCCAGCAGCCGCGGUAAUACGGAGGGUGCGAGCGUUAAUCGGAAUUACUGGGCGUAAAGCGCGCGUAGGCGGUCUGAUAAGCCGGUUGUGAAAGCCCCGGGCUCAACCUGGGAACGGCAUCCGGAACUGUCCGGCUAGAGUGCAGGAGAGGAAGGUAGAAUUCCCGGUGUAGCGGUGAAAUGCGUAGAGAUCGGGAGGAAUACCAGUGGCGAAGGCGGCCUUCUGGACUGACACUGACGCUGAGGUGCGAAAGCGUGGGUAGCAAACAGGAUUAGAUACCCGAGUAGUC
rnacentral:rRNA from 1 species